rnacentral:rRNA from 1 species
AUUGAACGCUGGCGGCAGGCCUAACACAUGCAAGUCGAACGGUAGCACAGAGAGCUUGCUCUCGGGUGACGAGUGGCAGACGGGUGAGUAACGUCUGGGAAACUGCCCGAUGGAGGGGGAUAACUACUGGAAACGGUAGCUAAUACCGCAUAACGUCGCAAGACCAAAGUGGGGGACCUUCGGGCCUCACACCAUCGGAUGUGCCCAGAUGGGAUUAGCUAGUAGGUGGGGUAAUGGCUCACCUAGGCGACGAUCCCUAGCUGGUCUGAGAGGAUGACCAGCCACACUGGAACUGGGACACGGUCCAGACUCCUACGGGAGGCAGCAGUGGGGAAUAUUGCACAAUGGGCGCAAGCCUGAUGCAGCCAUGCCGCGUGUAUGAAGAAGGCCUUCGGGUUGUAAAGUACUUUCAGCGGGGAGGAAGGCGGUGAAGUUAAUAGCUUCACCGAUUGACGUUACCCGCAGAAGAAGCACCGGCUAACUCCGUGCCAGCAGCCGCCGUAA